GGAAAAGAAACCAACAGGGAUUGCCUCAGUAACGGCGAGUGAAGCGGCAACAGCUCAAAUUUGAAAUCUGGCCGCAAGGUCCGAGUUGUAAUUUGUAGAGGAUGCUUUUGGCGAGGUGACUUCCGAGUUCCCUGGAACGGGACGCCAUAGAGGGUGAGAGCCCCGUACGGUCGUGCCACCGAGCCUCUGUAAAGCUCCUUCGACGAGUCGAGUAGUUUGGGAAUGCUGCUCUAAAUGGGAGGUGUACGUCUUCUAAAGCUAAAUACCGGCCAGAGACCGAUAGCGCACAAGUAGAGUGAUCGAAAGAUGAAAAGCACUUUGAAAAGAGGGUUAAAAAGUACGUGAAAUUGUUGAAAGGGAAGCAUUCAUGACCAGACUUGGGCUUGGUUGAACAUCCGGCGUUCUCGCCGGUGCACUCUGCCAGCUCAGGCCAGCAUCAGUUUGCCCCGGGGGACAAAGGCGGCGGGAAUGUGGCUCCCUACGGGGAGUGUUAUAGCCCGUCGUGUAAUGCCCUGGGGUGGACUGAGGUUCGCGCUUCGGCACGGAUGCUGGCGUAAUGGUCAUCAAUGACCCGUCUUGAAA
rnacentral:rRNA from 1 species